GGACCCGCACAAGUAGUGGAGCAUGUGGUUUAAUUCGAAGAUACGCGCAGAACCUUACCAACACUUGACAUGUUCGUCGCGACUUUAAGAGAUUAAAGUUUUCGGUUCGGCCGGACGAAACACAGGUGCUGCAUGGCUGUCGUCAGCUCGUGUCGUGAGAUGUUGGUUAAGUCCCGCAACGAGCGCAACCCUCACUUUUAGUUGCCAUCAUUAAGUUGGGCACUCUGAAAGAACUGCCAGUGAUAAGCUGGAGGAAGGUGGGGAUGACGUCAAGUCCUCAUGGCCCUUACGUGUUGGGCUACACACGUGCUACAAUGAUAUUUACAACAGGAAGCAAAACGGCGACGUUAAGCAA
rnacentral:rRNA from 1 species